rnacentral:piRNA from 1 species
UGGGAUGCAUGAGGUAGCAAAUACGAUGACU